rfam:Salmonella phage PVP-SE1, complete genome.
GCUCCUAAAGCAUAAGUGGCGAUGCAGCGGCCUUGUAAGCCGAAGAAGUGGGUUCGAUUCCUACUGGGAGCA